rnacentral:rRNA from 1 species
GGGGCCUAAGCCGAGGACGGAAGUCGUAGGCGAUGGACAGCAGGUGUAGAUUCCUGCACUACCGAUGGAAUGAAGCAGUGACACAGAAGGAUAACUCGAGCAGGGUGAUGGUCAACCCUGUGCAAGCAUUGAGGUUGGGUUGUAGUGAAGUACGCAAUCCUAUAAGCUGAGAUGUGAUGCGGACCGAAAUUUCAGUAGGGAAGCGAGUGAGUUCACGCUGGCGAGAUAAGCUGCUAGUACAUCCAAAGGUACCCGUACCGGAAACCGACGCAGGUGGGCGAGGAGAGAAUCCUGAGACGAACGGGAGAACCCUUGUUAAGGAACUCGGCAAAAUGACCCCGUAACUUCGGGAUAAGGGGUGCCUGCGAGAGCAGGCCGCAGAGAAUAGUCACAAGCGACUGUUUAGCAAAAACACAGGUAUCUGCGAAAGCAAGAGCUGACGUAUAGGUGCUGACACCUGCCCGGUGCUGGAAGGUUAGGGAACAUGUUAGAGCAAUCGAAGCAUCGAACCGAAGCCCCAGUAAACGGCGGCCGUAACCAUAACGGUCCUAAGGUAGCGAAAUUCCUUGUCGGGUAAGUUCCGACCCGCACGAAUGGUGUAACGACUUGUGAGCUGUCUCAACAGGGGGCCCGGUGAAAUUGAAGUAUGGGUGAAGAUGCCCAUUACCCGCGACUGGACGGAAAGACCCCGUAGAGCUUUACUGCAGCCUGAUAUUGAGUUUCGGUAACUGAUGCACAGGAUAGGUGGGAGUCUGAGAGACAUGGGUUUCGGCUCAUGUGGAGACGGUGUUGGGAUACCACUCUUCGGUUACUGAAAUUCUAACAUAGCUCUGUGAAACCAGAGGAUGGACAGUGUCAGGUGGACAGUUUGACUGGGGCGGUCGCCUCCGAAAGAGUAACGGAGGCGCCCAAAGGUACCCUCAGAAUGGAUGGAAACCAUUCGAAGAGCGCAAAGGCAGAAGGGUGCCUGACUGCGAGAUUGACAAAUCGAGCAGAGACGAAAGUCGGGCUUAGUGAUCCGGCGGUAUUGAGUGAAAAGCCGUCGCUUAACGGAUAAAAGCUACCUCGGGGAUAACAGGCUGAUCUCCCCCAAGAGUCCACAUCGACGGGGAGGUUUGGCACCUCGAUGUCGGCUCGUCGCAUCCUGGGGCUGAAGCAGGUCCCAAGGGUUUGGCUGUUCGCCAAUUAAAGCGGCACGCGAGCUGGGUUCAGAACGUCGUGAGACAGUUCGGUCCCUAUCCAUCGUGGGCGUAGGAGUCAUGAGAGGAGCUGUUCCUAGUACGAGAGGACCGGAAUGGACGCACCACUGGUGCAACUGUCGUCGUGCCAACGGCAUAGCAGGGAAGCGAAGUGCGGAUGGGAUAAACGCUGAAGGCAUCUAAGCGUGAAGCCCACCUCAAGAAUAAGACUCCACAAUAGACCCCUGGAGGACUACCAGGUAGAUAGGUCAUCGGUGGAAGCGCUGUAAGGCGUGUAGCUUGAUGAUACUAAUCGGUCGAAAGCUUCU